GGUUAGUCCGCACGGUAAACGAUGGAUGCCCCGCUGUUGGCGAUAUACAGUCAGCGGCCAAGAGAAAUCGUUAAGCAUCCCCACCUGGGGAGUACGCCGGCAACGGUGAAACUCAAAGGAAUUGACGGGGGCCCCGCACAAAGCGGAGGAACAUGUGGUUUAAUUCGAUGAUACGCGAGGAACCUUACCCGGGCUUGAACUGCAGGAGAAGGAUACAGAGAUGUUGACGCCCUUCGGGGCUCCUGUGGAGGUGCUGCAUGGUUGUCGUCAGCUCGUGCCGUGAGGUGUCGGCUUAAGUGCCAUAACGAGCGCAACCCUUUUCGUCAGUUGCCAUCAGGUAAUGCUGGGCACUCUGGCGACACUGCCACCGUAAGGUGUGAGGAAGGUGGGGAUGACGUCAAAUCAGCACGGCCUUGACGGCCGGGGCGACCAAGGUGCGGCAAUGUAGCAUACAGAAGACCGCUGAUGCGCAAGAGCGAUCCAAUCUAACAACUUCCGUCAGUUCGGAGACGGCACUGCAAACCGACGCCAAGAAGCAGAUUCGCUAGU
rnacentral:rRNA from 1 species